rnacentral:rRNA from 1 species
GACGAACGCUGGCGGCGUGCUUAACACAUGCAAGUGGAGCGACGAACCAGGCUUCGGCCUGGGGCAGAGCCGCGAACGGGUGAGUAACACGUGGGUAACGUGCCCCGAUGACCGGGACAACUCGAGGAAACUCGGGCUAAUACCGGAUGUGCUGUCCACACAUAAGCGUGGACUGAAAAGGAAGCUUCGGCCUCCGCAUCGGGAUCGGCCCGCGGCCCAUUAGCUUGUUGGUGAGGUAACGGCUCACCAAGGCCGCGAUGGGUAGCUGGUCUGAGAGGACGAUCAGCCACACUGGGACUGAGACACGGCCCAGACUCCUACGGGAGGCAGCAGUGGGGAAUCUUGCGCAAUGCGCGAAAGCGUGACGCAGCAACGCCGCGUGGGGGAAGAAGGCCUUCGGGUUGUAAACCCCUUUCAGGAGGGACGAAGCCCGGGCGGUGAAUAGCCGACCCUGGUGACGGUACCUCCAGAAGAAGCCCCGGCUAACUACGUGCCAGCCGCCGCGGUAACAC